UACAGAGGUCCCAAGCGUUGUUCGGAUUCAUUGGGCGUAAAGGGUGCGUAGGCGGCGCGGUAAGUCGGGUGUGAAAUCUCGGAGCUUAACUCCGAAACUGCAUUCGAUACUGCCGUGCUUGAGGACUGGAGAGGAGACUGGAAUUUACGGUGUAGCGGUGAAAUGCGUAGAUAUCGAGAGGAACACCUGCGGCGAAGGCGGGUUGCUGGGCUGACACUGACGCUGAUGCGCGAAAGCGUGGGGAGCGAACAGG
rnacentral:rRNA from 1 species